AGUGAACGCUGGCGGUAGGCCUAACACGUGCAAGUCGAACGGCAGCACAGAGGAGCUUGCUCCUUGGGUGGCGAGUGGCGGACGGGUGAGGAAUACAUCGGAAUCUACUCUGUCGUGGGGGAUAACGUAGGGAAACUUACGCUAAUACCGCAUACGACCUACGGGUGAAAGCAGGGGACCUUCGGGCCUUGCGCGAUUGAAUGAGCCGAUGUCGGAUUAGCUAGUUGGCGGGGUAAAAGCCCACCAAGGCGACGAUCCGUAGCUGGUCUGAGAGGAUGAUCAGCCACACUGGAACUGAGAGACGGUCCAGACUCCUACGGGAGGCAGCAGUGGGGAAUAUUGGACAAUGGGCGCAAGCCUGAUCCAGCCAUACCGCGUGGGUGAAGAAGGCCUUCGGGUUGUAAAGCCCUUUUGUUGGGAAAGAAAUCCAGCUGGCUAAUACCCGGUUGGGAUGACGGUACCCAAAGAAUAAGCACCGGCUAACUUCGUGCCAGCCGCCGCCGUAA
rnacentral:rRNA from 1 species